AUUCAUAUAUGUGUGAUACAUGCCUUGUUGUCGGAAUUAAUUUAUGCAUCACUAAAUUGCUUUUAUUUCGAACAGAAUCCUCCUCUUCCACGGACCGCACAUGAGAGGCGACCUCGCACACGAGCCGCGUGCCCAGCGCCUCGCCUUUGCCUCGCUCAAACCCUAGCCACACCAGUCUUCGCACCUUGCGAUUCAUGAUAGCGGCGUCGCGCGCGGCCCUCUCCCUCGGCCAGCGGAGACGCACGCGACCCCCUCCCAACUGGCAGCGCUAAGCACCAUGCCGCCGCCGCCCUGACGACCUCACUUCCCUCGGUGCCGGCGUUGAGUAUUGGGGUGGUGCUGGCAGUUCGACGCCCCCUCCCCACCGUACAACUCCGCCGCACCACUCACGCCCUCCUCCCGCGCGGCCCUAUGGCACGAGCAACGAACCGCCUCUGUCGUCCCAUCCACGACCACGUCCACAGGCCAGGUCAGCCUCUUUGAGUGCAGAAUGCACUAGAUCUAUUGUUCCAGGCUUUCAGGCUCUUUGAUCUGCCUCGACGCAAACUGCAGGUUAUGUGAUCGGUGUUUGUGAUGCCUUUUCAAUAAAAUAAACUGAGAUAAGGUCUACAAGAGGAACAUAGACUCUUUGGUUGGAUCACAUAUAUGCAAAAAGGUGUAUUGGCAUCCAAUACAAUUUUCUGGGCUGGUGCCUGUGAUUCUGUGAAGAUACUGCAGGCAAGUAAUAUUUUCUUAUCUAAAUUUCUAUAAUAUAUUUUAUAGACUUUGACGACGGCUGAGAAUUGCUUGUUGUCGUAAGAAGGGUCUAAUGUACAUAUGGGAUCUCUAUUACACGAAUUUCAUUUCACAAGACUCGUUGACUUCUUUUUCUUUAGUUGCAUCUCCAAAUGAGUCAUAGGUCAAUCAUGCUGGUAACUAUUUGACAUCUGGUCUUUAAUUCUCACUUACAACCUGAGAUGACAAUUCUGAACUUUGCUGCAUCUUAGUGUUUGCUGAACCUUUCUGCAUUUUAUAGAUUGUUAGUUUGUACCAUUGUUAUGUGAGGCUCAGUUGUGUCUGUUGAACUGACCGAGAAAAUAUGUCAAUAUCGUUAUCUGAUGAAAAUCAGUUGGUGCCGAAUACUAACUUGUCCUCUUUCUAGAUAACCAUGAGGGUCUGUGACCUGUAAAAUAGAUGCACUCCAGUUCUCAUGUUCUUAGUGUACAUGAUCUCCAAUUCAUAAAUUAACUGCUGCCUUGUACAGGGGAUGAUGAAGCGCAAACUUCUCAGGGAAGACAUGCUUCCAUCGAUGGCACUAAACCAGUGGCUGCUCAAUGAGUUUAUGGACCUCCUAUAACACUCCAAAUUUUUGAAAUUCAAAUUUAGUUCAAAUUUGAUUUAAUUUUGGCUCAAUUUGAAUUUUUGGGAAAUAUUAAAUAAUUUACAAAAUUAAAUAAAAUUAAAUAUAAGGUAGAAAACUUGUUCGUACGCAUUCAUGCCGCUGCAUUUAUUUUUGUUUGAUUUGUUUGCUGGUGCUUGUAUUUAUUUUGUUGGAGAAAGAAUUAAAUAGGAGAAGCAAAUUGUUUCUGAAAAUAAAAAAAAAGAAGAAAAGAAAAAGGGCAGCGCCUCCCCCUCGGCCCGCGACCGCGCGCGGCCCAAGCCGCUGCCGCGGCCCAGCACGCGCCCCGCAACCCUCCCCCCUCUCCUCUCCCGCACGGCCCAGCAGCGGCCCAGCCGCAGGGCCGCAGCGCCCCCAGCCCGCCUGCCGCCCGCAGCCGCUGACAGUGGGGCCCGCGAGUGGGUCCCACCCGUCAGGCGGGGGCGUCUUCAACC
rnacentral:lncRNA from 1 species